rnacentral:rRNA from 1 species
GAUGAACGCUGGCGGCGUGCCUAAUACAUGCAAGUCGAGCGAAUGGAUUAAGAGCUUGCUCUUAUGAAGUUAGCGGCGGACGGGUGAGUAACACGUGGGUAACCUGCUCAUAAGACUGGGAUAACUCCGGGAAACCGGGGCUAAUACCGGAUAACAUUUUGAACCGCAUGGUUCGAAAUUGAAAGGCGGCUUCGGCUGCUACUUAUGGAUGGACUCGCGUCGCAUUAGCUAGUUGGUGAGGUAACGGCGCACCCAGGCAACGAUGCGUAGCCGACCUGAGAGGGUGAUCGGCCACACUGGGACUGAGACACGGCCCAGACUCCUACGGGAGACAGCAGUAGGGAAUCUUCCGCAAUGGACGAAAGUCUGACGGAGCAACGCCGCGUGAGUGAUGAAGGCUUUCGGGUCGUAAAACUCUGUUGUUAGGGAAGAACAAGUGCUAGUUGAAUAAGCUGGCACCUUGACGGUACCUAACCAGAAAGCCACGGCUAACUACGUGCCAGCCGCCGCCGUAA